rnacentral:lncRNA from 1 species
UCUUAUUUGGCAUUUUAGAGUUGCAGACACAAGAAUGACCGAAUUCCGACUUAGAACGAAGAAACGAGCGUUGAACGUUCCCGAACGUUUACCGUUUUUGUUAUAAAUGGACUAAUAGGUGAAUUUUUAGCAAACGAAGUCAAAUAGAUACAAUUCUUGCAUGAACGCGUAGAGUAUGUAAUUUGUGAACCGUAGGCUUUUGAACGAGC